CUUUUUUUAAAGGUCAUUUGGCUUUGUGCAUGCGCGAAAGCCUACCAACCCUGAGAAUGUUUGCUGCUGAAUGUCGUGCAUACUUCACAGUGGUUAUCCAUGGAUUUUACUUGUGAGAAAAUUUAUACUAAGAUCUUUAUAAAUCUUUUUAAUACUUUGUAAUGUUUUACAUUUACUUAAUAAUGUUAUACAUAUUCAAGUACACGUUUCGAUACAUACGAUUGUUCCAAUUUAACAAUUCUGUUGAAAAUAAACAAGUGAUAAACCAAAAAAUAUAUAAUUUCCUCUUUUAACCGACAUCGAUCAGUGACAUGUUUUAAGUUCAGCCUACCCAGCAAUUUUAUGGAAUUUGUCCAUUAUUUUCAAUCACAAUGUAUGCUGCCAAAUACACCACACAAAUUAUCAAUGUCAUGUGGCCAGUAAAACAGACAGAUUCUCGGUAUUCUUGAGGUAUUUCCCCCAAAAUUUCACCAUUACGAUAUUUGUCUAAAUUGUCUACAUAAACGUUGAAUCCUUAAUAUUUCUUACCUGUGUUUAUCUUCCUUUAAAUUUUAGUGUAAAAUGUGUUCUUUUUACCUACAUUACGAUAUACAUCUCGACACACAUUACCUAAAAAGUAACUCGAUCAUGCGAUGGCGAUGUCGCUCGUUCUUCCGUGGUUUCACUCUCACCGCCUCUAUGUCAGUGGCAGUGUGAUCAGGUUUUUUCAGGGGAUUUUAUCAUUUACCACAUCCGGUUUCAUAAAUUACUA